CGGGGCGACUCAAGGAUUUUCUCGACCGUGGAGUAUUUGACUUCACGGGGGUCAGGUUUUAAAUUUUGGACGAAGCUGAUCGAAUGCUUGAUAUGGGUUUCGGCCCCAAUAUUGGAAAAAUUUUCAACCAUCCAACGAAAGGAAUCCGUCGUGUUUGUACGUUUUUCGGCUACAUUCCCAGAUGAAGUACAAGCGCUGGCUGCGACGUACAUGGAAGACGACAUAUUCGUCACAACAGGCGUUGUUGGUGGCACCAAUCCGGAUGUUGAACAGCGGUUUUUUCAGUGCACGAAAAGAGAUAAGAGAGCUGAUCGAAGUUUUACAAGAUCUCGGUGAUGCCAAGACUAUCGUUUUUGUCGACAGCAAAAAUACGGCUGAUAUUUCCGGCGUAAACAAUGUCGUAAAUUAUGACUUGCCAACUGAUAUUGAAAAAGGUGAGAAUCACCAAAUAAAAGCCAUUCAACCCGCUUCUCUUUCUACGGCUGAUUGCAACAUCCGACCCUGCUAAGAGAACCUACGUGAGUGUGAUACGGAUAUCAACUGUGGGUCGAGUUAUUAUUGUUUCCUCUCGUAUUGUGAACGAUGCAUUCCCUGCGAUACCCAUUUCAAUCGCCAACCGGCGCGAUCGUUGACCGGUCAACCUAUUUGUGCCAGAUACGAAGAUGAUUGUGGAGUUUGCCUACCAGGUAGGCCAUGAUCAGAAUGAAACAAAUUUUUGCGCGUGCAGACAACAGCUGCAAAGGACAUUAUGAGAAACUUUAUCCGUCACAAAUUCAAGAAUUCAAGAUCGACACAGCAGGGGUUUCUUGGGAGCUGUGCUGAAUCGGAUGGUUCCCACCGAUGCUGCUGCUACUGCUGACAUUACAACCUCGAUUGUACCAAGAUGUCGAAGGAUUCCUUCUUCCCAGAUGAUUGGAAUCUAUCGUAAAUGCUGAAGCUCCCAUUGUUGCCUUAAGGGAAGCCUUAUGAACCUUUGCUUAAAUAAGGCGAUCUGAAUGCAAUCGUAAUACAGUACGUACAUGAAGUUGUAUCGCAAGUCAAAUGUAUGGCGAAAAAUUUCGAUCCUCAUUCAGUUAAAGCCGAAGAACAAUAAUGGAACUCUACUUUCUAGUCUUCUCCGAGAGACAGUCGUGUUACAAAUCUACACCACGUAUUACUGGGGGAAUAGCUAAGUUUCUGAAAAAAAUUAUUUUAAAUUUUUAAAAUUAUUUUGUUGGGCUUAUUUUAAAAGCUGGCCGAACAUGAUUUCCAGCGGACGGCGCUGCAAGUUCACCAGCCUCUAGCGGCUGAAAUCAAAACUAUUUUUUGACAUGUGAUUCUCAUUGUUUACUUUGUUGUUACGUUGAAAGCGUGUAUUUGAGUUUACUUCGUCGGAAUAGCUUGUUGUUUUUACCUCCACCCCUAUUAUUGAUGUGCAAAUUUUACGCUGCUUCGUUACCAACACAAAAUGUAAGCUGUUGGGCAUAGAACAAGGUAAUAAUAACGUACUUUUGUAAAA